GAUGAACGCUGGCGGCGUGCUUAACACAUGCAAGUCGAACGAAGCGUAUUCAAGCGAAGUUUUCGGACAAAGCGAGGAUAUGACUUAGUGGCGGACGGGUGAGUAACGCGUGGGCAACCUGCCUUUCACAGCGGGAUAACAGAGGGAAGCUUCUGCUAAUACCGCAUAUACCUUUAUAACGCAUGUUAGGGAGGGGAAAGAAUUAUCGGUGAGAGAUGGGCCCGCGUCCGAUUAGAUAGUUGGUGGGGUAACAGCCUACCAAGUCAACGAUCGGUAGCCGGCUUGAGAGAGUGAACGGCCACAUUGGGACUGAGACACGGCCCAAACUCCUACGGGAGGCAGCAGUGGGGGAUAUUGGACAAUGGGGGCAACCCUGAUCCAGCGACGCCGCGUGAGUGAAGAAGUAUUUCGGUACGUAAAGCUCUAUCAGCAGGGAAGAAAGAAGACGGUACCUGACUAAGAAGCCCCGGCUAACUACGUGCCAGCAGCCGCGGUAAUACGUAGGGGGCAAGCGUUAUCCGGAAUUACUGGGUGUAAAGGGAGCGUAGACGGUUAAACAAGUCUGAAGUGAAAUGCCGGGGCUCAACCCCGGAGCUGCUUUGGGAACUGUAGAACUGGAGUGUCGGAGGGGUAAGCGGAAUUCCCAGUGUAGCGGUGAAAUGCGUAGAUAUUGGGAGGAACACCGGCGGCGAAGGCGGCUUACUGGACGACAACUGACGUUGAGGCUCGAAGGCGUGGGUAGCAAACAGGAUUAGAUACCCUGGUAGUCCACGCAGUAAACGAUGAAUACUAGGUGUCGGGUGGCAAAGCCAUUCGGUGCCGGCGCAAACGCAAUAAGUAUUCCACCUGGGGAGUACGUUCGCAAGAAUGAAACUCAAAGGAAUAGACGGGGACCCGCACAAGCGGUGGAGCAUGUGGUUUAAUUCGAAGCAACGCGAAGAACCUUACCAAGCCUUGACAUGCCGAUGACGUAAAAGUAAAGGUUUAUUCCCUACUGGGGCAUCGG
rnacentral:rRNA from 1 species